rnacentral:rRNA from 1 species
AUUGAACGCUGGCGGCAGGCCUAACACAUGCAAGUCGAGCGGAUGAAGGGUGCUUGCUUCUGGAUACAGCGGCGGACGGGCGAGUAAUGCCUAGGAAUCUGCCUGGUAGCGUGGGAUAACGUCCGGACACGGGCGCUAUUACGCCAUAAGUCCUGAGGGCGUACGUGGGGGAUCUUCGGACCUCACGCCAUUAGAUGAGCCUAGGUCGGAUUAUCUAGUUGGUGGGUUAAGGGCCUACCAAGGCAACGAUCCGUAACUGGUCUGGGGGUUUGAUCAGUCACAUUGGACUUGAGACACGGGCCAAAUUCCUAGGGGGGGCGGAGGUGGGAAUUUUGGAACAAUGGGGGAAAGCUUGUCCAGGCCAAGCCGGGUGGGUGAAGAAGGUCUUCGGAUUGUAAAGCACUUUGUUUUGGAAGAAAAGGCAGUAGGUAAAAACCUUGCUGUUUGAACGUAACCAACAGAAUAAGCCCCGGCUACUUUCUU